rnacentral:rRNA from 1 species
GAUGAACGCUGGCGGCGUGCCUAAUACAUGCAAGUCGAGCGAACAGAUAAGGAGCUUGCUCCUUUGACGUUAGCGGCGGACGGGUGAGUAACACGUGGGUAACCUACCUAUAAGACUGGGAUAACUUCGGGAAACCGGAGCUAAUACCGGAUAACAUUUGGAACCGCAUGGUUCUAAAGUGAAAGAUGGUUUUGCUAUCACUUAUAGAUGGACCCGCGCCGUAUUAGCUAGUUGGUAAGGUACCGGCUUACCAAGGAGACGAUACGUAGCCGACCUGAGAGGGUGAUCGGCCACACUGGAACUGAGACACGGUCCAGACUCCUACGGGAGGCAGCAGUAGGGAAUCUUCCGCAAUGGGCGAAAGCCUGACGGAGCAACGCCGCGUGAGUGAUGAAGGGUUUCGGCUCGUAAAACUCUGUUAUUAGGGAAGAACAAAUGUGUAAGUAACUGUGCACGUCUUGACGGUACCUAAUCAGAAAGCCACGGCUAACUACGUGCCAGCAGCCGCCGUAA